CCUACGGGAGGCAGCAGUAGGGAAUAUUGCUCAAUGGGGGAAACCCUGAAGCAGCAACGCCGCGUGGAGGAUGAAGGUUUUCGGAUUGUAAACUCCUUUUGUUAGAGAAGAUAAUGACGGUAUCUAACGAAUAAGCACCGGCUAACUCCGUGCCAGCAGCCGCGGUAAUACGGAGGGUGCAAGCGUUACUCGGAAUCACUGGGCGUAAAGAGCGCGUAGGCGGGGUAGCAAGUCAGAUGUGAAAUCCUAGGGCUUAACCAUAGAACUGCAUUUGAAACUGUUAUUCUAGAGUAUGGGAGAGGUAGGUGGAAUUCUUGGUGUAGGGGUAAAAUCCGUAGAGAUCAAGAGGAAUACUCAUUGCGAAGGCGACCUGCUAGAACAUAACUGACGCUGAUGCGCGAAAGCGUGGGGAGCAAACAGGAUUAGAUACCCUUGUAGUC
rnacentral:rRNA from 1 species